UGGGAAUAUUGCACAAUGGGCGGAAGCCUGAUGCAGCAACGCCGCGUGCGGGAUGACGGCCUUCGGGUUGUAAACCGCUUUCGCCUGUGACGAAGCGUGAGUGACGGUAAUGGGUAAAGAAGCACCGGCUAACUACGUGCCAGCAGCCGCGGUGAUACGUAGGGUGCGAGCGUUGUCCGGAUUUAUUGGGCGUAAAGGGCUCGUAGGUGGUUGAUCGCGUCGGAAGUGUAAUCUUGGGGCUUAACCCUGAGCGUGCUUUCGAUACGGGUUGACUUGAGGAAGGUAGGGGAGAAUGGAAUUCCUGGUGGAGCGGUGGAAUGCGCAGAUAUCAGGAGGAACACCAGUGGCGAAGGCGGUUCUCUGGGCCUUUCCUGACGCUGAGGAGCGAAAGCGUGGGGAGCGAACAGGCUUAGAUACCCUGGUAGUCCACGCUGUAAACGGUGGGUACAAGGUGUGGGGUCCAUUCCACGGGUUCCGUGCCGUAGCUAACGCUUUAAGUACCCCGCCUGGGGAGUACGGCCGCAAGGCUA
rnacentral:rRNA from 1 species